rnacentral:lncRNA from 1 species
AUGGAUGCCCUCCUGAAGGAAGAACAGUUUUGUGGAAUUUUAAGGGCUGAGGUGUCACCACCCCAGUGGCAGGUCUUUGAGCCUCCACAGAUCUGGAAUAAGCCGCCUCCUUCUUACAAGGACUUGCAUGAGACCCAGAAGGAAACAAACUGGAGAAGCUGUGGUUGCAACCUCAGGCUAGGAGCUUGCAAGGACUGUCUUUGGCCCAUUAAUGCUACUUCUGUUUUUGUCACCCUUCCAAUAGGAGGACUGACAAACCUCCUAUCUAGAAGAACGAAAAAUAAAUUGCCAGUUGAAUGCUCAAUGGAAAAGUGUCUUUAAAGCUGCCAAUGCUACCUUCUUCUGCUGUGAAAGAUGACUUUUAAACUCAAUUUCAGAAAUAAUUAUGCCAGUUGUGGGUUUUACCUGGACUCCUCCUCUUACCUUUUCUAAGGAGCAUUCUCAGGAAGUUUUAGAAUCAGAAUUGUCACUAGCAAGAUGAUGAAAUUCACUGUACUUUGUAGAAAUAGCUUUUCUGUAUAAUAUGCUUGGAAUAAUUUCCCCAAACCUAUUCAAAAUAUAAUUUUCUAGCAGGGAAAAAUAUAAACGGUCUGAUGAAGGUUUAAAAAAUACAAACUCAUACCUUCUAUGACAAAAAAAAAAAAGAGGGGUAAUCUCUAAAAUCUUCAGGGAAAGAAGCAAGGCCUCUCCCUCACUGGUGACUGAGCUUUGAUUUGCACCACGGUAAGAGUUACACACAGAAUAUACCAUUAGAUAGAUCUGCCUAGUUCUUGUUUCAGAUACACAGGAAAACAGUUCAUUUUUGAAUCUCACUACAACAACCUAAUUUCCUAAAUAGUUGUUCUUUGAUUUUGGGAAGGCACUAAAAACUGAUUCCAAAUUAGCUGCUUUAGGAGGAGAGAAGAGCUACUUGAGCAAUGGGCUCAGACAUAGAUGUCAUGUGGGGAGCCUGGAAAAAGGGGGAAGGGACAGUGCAGCUCACUUGCAUGAUCCCAGUGCUUAAGCAUUGCAGUAAAUUCCACUGAUAGCACAGUGAGAGAUGGUCUCACUUUCCUGUGUUAAAUCCGUUUUAGUAGCUGUAGGCAAAAGGGUCAAAUAUUUAACUUGGUAUUAAACUUAGCAAAAUAAAGUGAGUUUCUUGUGCA